CCUAUGCUGCCAAGAAAAGCCUCUAGCGAGUGUUAAAACCGCCCGUACCCCAAACCGACACAGGUGGUCAGGUAGAGAAUACUAAGGCGAUCGAGAUAACUAUGGUUAAGGAACUCGGCAAAAUGCCCCCGUAACUUCGGGAGAAGGGGGGCCCGUUCUGGUGAGGAGAUUUACUCUCCGAGCUGGGAUUGGCCGCAGAGACCAGGCCCAAGCGACUGUUUACUAAAAACACAGGUCCAUGCUAAGUCGCAAGACGCUGUAUAUGGACUGACGCCUGCCCGGUGCUGGAACGUUAAGGGGACGGGUUAGCGACUUCGGUCGCGAAGCUCAGAACUUAAGCGCCAGUAAACGGCGGUGGUAACUAUAACCAUCCUAAGGUAGCGAAAUUCCUUGUCGGGUAAGUUCCGACCUGCACGAAUGGCGUAACGACUUGGGCGCUGUCUCAACCGUAGACUCGGCGAAAUUGCACUACGAGUAAAGAUGCUCGUUACGCGCGGCAGGACGAAAAGACCCCGGGACCUUUACUACAGCUUGGUAUUGGUGGUCGAUUCGAUUUGUGUAGGAUAGGUGGGAGACUGUGAACUUCGGACGCCAGUUCGAAGGGAGUCAUCGUUGAAAUACCACUCUGAUCGUAUUGGCUGUCUAACCUAGAUCCGUAAUCCGGAUCAGGGACAGUGCCUGGUGGGUAGUUUAACUGGGGCGGUUGCCUCCUAAAAUGUAACGGAGGCGCUCAAAGGUUCCCUCAGCCUGGUUGGCAAUCAGGUAUCGAGUGUAAGUGCACAAGGGAGCUUGACUGUGAGACUGACGGGUCGAGCAGGGACGAAAGUCGGAACUAGUGAUCCGGCGCUGGCAAGUGGAAGCGGCGUCGCUCAACGGAUAAAAGGUACCCCGGGGAUAACAGGCUGAUCUUGCCCAAGAGUCCAUAUCGACGGCAUGGUUUGGCACCUCGAUGUCGGCUCGUCGCAUCCUGGGGCUGGAGUAGGUCCCAAGGGUUGGGCUGUUCGCCCAUUAAAGCGGCACGCGAGCUGGGUUUAGAACGUCGUGAGACAGUUCGGUCCCUAUCCGCCGCGCGCGUAAGAGUCUUGAGAAGAUCUGUCCCUAGUACGAGAGGACCGGGAUGGACGAACCUCUGGUGUGUCAGUUGUCCUGCCAAGGGCACUGCUGAUUAGCUACGUUCGGAAGAGAUAACCGCUGAAAGCAUCUAAGCGGGAAACUCGCUUCAAGAUGAGGGCUCUCACAGGGUUAACCUGGUAAGGCCCCCAGUAGACCACUGGGUUGAUAGGCCGGAAGUGGAAGUGCGGUAACGCAUGCAGCUGACCGGUACUAAUAGGCCGAGGACUUGACC
rnacentral:rRNA from 1 species